GGGUGGAAUUUUGGGUUUUUAAAUGCAGAUUUGAGAUAUUCGUGUUUAGGAAGAUCAAGAACUGAGAAUGGAAGGAGUUUUUCUGUACAGUCUAGUUUGGUGGCUAGUCCAGCUGGAGAAAUGGCUGUGUCAUCAGAAAAAAAAGUGUAUGAGGUGGUAUUGAAGCAGGCAGCUUUAGUGAAGAGGCAUCUGAUAUCUACUGAUGACAUACAAGUGAAGCCGGAUAUUGUUCUUCCG
rnacentral:misc_RNA from 1 species